rnacentral:rRNA from 1 species
UAGGGAAUAUUAGUAAUGGGCGAAAGCCCGAACCAGCAACGCCGCGUGCGCGAUGAAGGCCUUCGGGUUGUAAAGCGCUUUUUAAGGGGAUGAGGAAGGACAGUACUCUUAGAAUAAGCCUCGGCUAACUACGUGCCAGCAGCCGCGGUAAAACGUAGGAGGCGAGCGUUAUCCGGAUUUACUGGGCGUAAAGCGUGUGUAGGCGGUUUGAUAAGUUGGAUGUGAAAGCUCCCGGCUCAACUGGGAGAGGUCGUUCAAAACUAUCAGACUUGAGAGUGGUAGAGGGAGGUGGAAUUCCGCGUGUAGUGGUGAAAUGCGGAGAUAUCCGGAGGAACACCAGUGGCGAAAGCGGCCUCCUGGACCACUCCUGACACUCAGACGCGAAAGCUAGGGUAGCAAACG